AGAGUUUGAUUUUGGCUCAGAACGAACGCUGGCGGCGCGUUUUAAGCAUGCAAGUCGAGCGGUAAGGGUACUUCGGUACCCCUAGAGCGGCGGACGGGUGAGUAACACGUGGAUAACCUGCCCCCGGGUGCGGGAUAGCCCAGGGAAACCUGGAUUAAUACCUCGUAAGACCACGCUCUGUAGGGAGAGUGGGAAAAGGCGCUUCGGCGUCGCCUGGGGAUGGGUCCGCGUCCCAUUAGCUAGAUGGUAGGGUAAGAGCCUACCAUGGCGACGAUGGGUAGCCGGCCUGAGAGGGUGAACGGCCACACUGGAACUGAGACACGGUCCAGACUCCUACGGGAGGCAGCAGCUAAGAAUCUUCCGCAAUGGGCGCAAGCCUGACGGAGCGACGCCGCGUGGGCGAGGAAGGCCGCAAGGUUGUAAAGUCCUUUUCGGGAAGGGGAAUAAGAGUGAUAGGCAAUGAUCACUUGAUGACAUGAAUCCCGGAAUAAGCCCCGGCUAACUACGUGCCAGCAGCCGCGGUAACACGUAGGGGGCGAGCGUUGUUCGGAAUCAUUGGGCGUAAAGGGCGCGCAGGCGGCGUGUAAAGUCUGGCGUGGAAGUCCCCGGCUCAACUGGGGGAUUGCGUUGGAAACUGGCACGCUUGAGUACGACAGGGGAUGGCGGAAUUCCAGGUGUAGGGGUGAAAUCUGUAGAUAUCUGGAGGAACACCAAUGGCGAAGGCAGCCAUCUGGAUCAGUACUGACGCUGAGGCGCGAAGGUGCGGGGAGCAAACAGGUUUAGAUACCCUGGUAGUCCGCACAGU
rnacentral:rRNA from 1 species